GGUACCUGACACUUUCAUGGUUUGCUCUGCUUGUAUGUGGAAGUAACUGGCUUGGUGGCAGCGCUGCUGAAAAGGAGCUGGGGGUUAGAGUAGGGCACAAACUGAAUAUGGGUCAGCAAUGUGAUGGAGUUGUGAAAAAGGCUAACAGCAUUCUGGGGUGUAUUAACAGGAGCGUCGUACGUAAGACACAGGAGUUCAGUGUCCUGCUGCGCUCACAUUGGUGAGGCAUCAGCUGAAGUCCUGUGUCCAGUUCUGGGCACCUCACUUCAGGAGAGAGGUGGCUACAAACACCUGUCAGGGAUGAUGAUGAUAAUAAUAGGAGAUAUACCAAUCUCCUAGAACUGGAAGGGACCUUCAAAGGUCAUUGAGUUCAGCCCCCUGCCUUCACUAGCAGGACCAAUUUUUGCCCCAGAUCCCUAAGUGGCCCCCUCCAGGAUUGAAUUCUCAACCCUGGGUUUAGCAGACCAAUGCUCAAACCACUGAGCUAUCUCUCCCUACAAGUUUAUUUGGUCCUGCCUCAGUACAGGGGGCUGGACUUUCGAUGACGACCUAAGGUUGCGUCCAGCGCCGCGUUGCUCUGAUUCUGGUAUUGUGUGUUACAGCUCCUUUCCCAGCUCGGGUUUGUCUUGCCCACUUACACUGUCAGCUCUUUGGGGCUGGGGCUGUUCCUUAGUCUGCGUGUGCGAAGCCCCCAGGGCAGUGGGGCUCUGGGUUUGCCUGGGGCUUCUGGGCACUACCAAAAUGCACGUAUUAGAUAAUAAAAGCAUGUCUGAGGGGAGGCCGGACUCAGGCCUGGCUUCCCUGUUAAUAUCCUAGGAUAGCUUAUGCACCAUCCGAAUGAGCCACGAGAGAGCUCUGAUAAGGCCCUGGAUAGUGUCCGUCAGCCCAGUGAGCCCUGAGAAAGCAAAGGGGCCUCCUGUUCCCUUCCAGGACCUUGACAUUACACCCGUGCGAGGUGCUAUGAUCAGAUGACAGCUGGACUCCCCUCAGGAUGGGUGCCUCCUGUUCCCUUCCAGGACCUUGACAUUACACCCGUGCGAGGUGCUAUGAUCAGAUGACAGCUGGACUCCCCUCAGGAUGGGUGCCUCCUGUUCCCUUCCAGGACUUUGACGUUACACCCAUGCGAGGUGUUGUGAUCAGAUGACAGCUGGACUGCCC